rnacentral:rRNA from 1 species
UACGAAGGGGGCUAGCGUUGUUCGGAAUUACUGGGCGUAAAGCGUGCGCAGGCGGUUUUGUAAGUCAGAUGUGAAAGCCCCGGGCUCAACCUGGGAACUGCGUUUGAAACUACAAGGCUAGAGUAUGGCAGAGGGGGGUAGAAUUCCACGUGUAGCAGUGAAAUGCGUAGAGAUGUGGAGGAAUACCAAUGGCGAAGGCAGCCCCCUGGGUCAAUACUGACGCUCAUGCACGAAAGCGUGGGGAGCAAACAGG